UUGAGAGGACAGGAGAGACAGUCUCCCUGCUUUCAGUUUCAGUGCUUGGCGCCAUUGAGGAGCAAUUGGUGGGAAAGUCCUGUUCAGCUCCUUCAACUCUGGAAUUAUGCAUGCUCCAUGCAGAUGAAAUCUUCAGGAAACUUAGCUGCUAACCUGAGCAUGUGUGAACUGAGAUUUUUAAGAGACUUGGACAAACUUAGGUGAAUUUUUACAGGGAUGGCUACAGACACAUCUUGACACCAUGGCGGUCUCUAUCCCCCACCGCAGCUGAACUUCAAGUCUGAGUUCUGAUGUAUGGAGAUGCUAGAACCCAGGUCUAGCAGCUGAAUUCUGGCAUAUCUGGCAUAUCUGAUGUCCUUUCUUGCAAGUUGGUCUUUGUGGGCAGACCAGUAGGCCUGUGUACAGCCACCUGAAGUUCUCUGAGGGUGAUACUGCCUGUUUAGGAGGGAAGAGGAACAGUGCACCUAUGACUGGUCAGUAAACUUCAAAUUAGGCUUAAAAGAGAGCACCUGGGCCGUGGAGAAGAAGGUCCAUCAAGGAAGUCAGAAGGGGCAGGAGACAGGAAGGAGGAAACCUGAGGAGCAGCAGCAGCAGAUGGUGAUGAAAGUCAGUACAGAGAACCAUUGGGAAGAGCAAAAUGUUUAUGGUCUCCUUUCAUGUACCUGUUGUGCUAGCAGGCAUUCUUAGAGAAUCAAACAGCUCCAGGCUGGUUUCAGUUUAUUAAAGCAAAGCGAGAGGAGUGAGAUAAAUAACCACCUGAAGAACAGUGCAUAAGAAAAUGAAAGAAAAACUUGAUGCCCUUCUGCAAAACAAUCCCCAUGUGAUCCUAGAAGAUUGAAUGUUGAGCUAUUCCUGACUCUGGCACUACUUUACAACCUUUCCAGCAGUGGUCUGGUGAAGUAUUACGUAUCUUGCUUUAAUCUGUGCAGAUGAACAUAACCUGCUGCUAUGUUAUAAAAUGGGAGGAGCACAUAGAAAUCUUACUGUUUUGGCUUAGUAAUGUGUGAAUAGAACUGCAAUAAAUAUUUAAAAACUUUGAAAUUCA